GAGAAGGGCAACGUUGCAUGCCCGGCAUUUUGUGUUGGACGCUAGGAGAGGGAAGUAAAGACAGAUGUCAACUGACUGACUGACUCCCGGGCUGGAGUGAUCAGUUUCAUAUGACCUGGGGCUUGAUUGGUUUAUGUCAUUAAGGCAAUCACAUGUCCCUACAGUGGAUGGAUGGCCAGCCACGCAGGAGGGUGAUUUUUACUAAGGAGGAGAAGGAGGCCGUGCUGUCCGAGAUGCAUGCUGGCCAUUUCGGAGAGAAGCACAUGACAAGCAAAAUCAACCUACGCAUCUUCUGACGGGGAAUUGAAAUAACCUUUUAUAAAUCACAUUCUAUUAUAUCUGAAAUCAUUAUUAUUUCAAUGAAUGUCAUAUCAGAGAGCACACUGUUUCAAUUUGUCACUUUCUAGCCUGCCAGAAGUUUGAGAGGGCGAAGACUGUGGCGCCGGAGUUGAAGCCCAUCAAAGUUGUUUCACCAUGGGGUGGACCUCAUCAGACACUUCACCAAAUCCAGGAAUGGCAACAGCUGGUGUCUGACUGCGACCAAUCACUUGAUGGAGGCAGUACUCAUUAAGGAGGAGACUGGUGAGGCCACCCCAAGGCCAUGGAGAUCUUCAAAACCCAUGGUUCUCCUGAGGCCAUCUUGAGUGAACGAGGUGAUGAAUGCUGGAACAAGGUACGGAUGUUAUAGAGUCGCAAUUCAACGGCUCAGACACAAGAGGUAUGUGGCAGGGUCUACAGUCAAUCACGGAUUACAAAAAGAAAACCAGCCCCGGCGCGGACCAGAAUGUCUUGCUCCCAGGAUGUCUUG